UGAGGAAAAAAAUGUGAAAUGGAAAAAAGUUGGUAGUGGUGACUUUUGGGAGGGAAAAGUUUUUUUGGGUUUUGAUUUAGGUUUGGAGAAGAGGGGUUGAAUGAUAUUUUUUCAUCAAUUUUGGGGGCUAGAAAGCAUGAAAAAUGAAGGGGAAUAGUGCAUCUAUUUAUAGGGAAAGUUGGUGGGAAAAUGGGGGGAACCAAAUACCCUUUGUGCAAAAAAGGCUCUCUUUUUUUGGAGUGUGCAAGGCAAAAU
rnacentral:lncRNA from 1 species